GACGAACGCUGGCGGCGUGCUUAACACAUGCAAGUCGAACGAUGAAGAAAAGAAUUGAAGCUUCGGCAGAAAUUCAUUUCGGAUUAGUGGCAGACGGGUGAGUAACGCGUGAGCAACCUACCUCUUACAAAGGGAUAGCCUCGGGAAACCGGGAUUAAUACCAUAUAACAUUGCGACGAAGCAUUUCGAUGCAAUCAAAGCUACGGCGGUAAGAGAUGGGCUCGCGUCCCAUUAACCAGAUGGUGAGGUAACGGCUCACCAUAGUAACGAUGGGUAACCGGCCUGAGAGGGUGAACGGUCACACUGGAACUGAGACACGGUCCAGACUCCUACGGGAGGCAGCAGUGGGGAAUAUUGCACAAUGGAGGGAACUCUGAUGCAGCGACGCCGCGUGAGUGAUGAAGGAAUUCGUUUCGUAAAACUCUGUUCUAUGGGAAGAAAAGGACUGUACCAUAGGAGAAAGCUCCGGCUAAAUACGU
rnacentral:rRNA from 1 species